AGUGAACGCUGGCGGUAGGCCUAACGCAUGCAAGUCGAACGGCAGCACAGUAAGAGCUUGCUCUUACGGGUGGCGAGUGGCGGACGGGUGAGGAAUACAUCGGAAUCUACUUUUUCGUGGGGGAUAACGUAGGGAAACUUACGCUAAUACCGCAUACGACCUACGGGUGAAAGCAGGGGAUCUUCGGACCUUGCGCGAUUGAAUGAGCCGAUGUCGGAUUAGCUAGUUGGCGGGGUAAAGGCCCACCAAGGCGACGAUCCGUAGCUGGUCUGAGAGGAUGAUCAGCCACACUGGAACUGAGACACGGUCCAGACUCCUACGGGAGGCAGCGGUGGGGAAUAUUGGACAAUGGGCGCAAGCCUGAUCCAGCCAUACCGCGUGGGUGAAGAAGGCCUUCGGGUUGUAAAGCCCUUUUGUUGGGAAAGAAAAGCAGCAGGUUAAUACCCCGCUGUUCUGACGGUACCCAAAGAAUAAGCACCGGCUAACUUCGUG
rnacentral:rRNA from 1 species